rnacentral:rRNA from 1 species
AUGAUGUUUCCACUCCAUUUUCAUUACGAAGAUGUAUUACGUCAGGAUCUGUUGCUCAAACUGAAUCACGCCAAUGUUAUGGAAGUUCCUGGAUUGUUUGAAAUAAGAUUAGUACCAAAAGCUACCUCUGAUUUCAGAAUCCAAUUUGGAAAAUUGGCUAUGGAGAUUUUGUGCGGUCAGAGAUUCAUACAGACACAAAGGGGCCCCUAUUUUCAAGCAGGAAAGUCGUUUCGAUCCAAUCCAUUCUUGGGGUCCGAAAAAGACACUGGAUAUGUCAGUGACUUUGCAUGA